rnacentral:rRNA from 1 species
ACCAGGACGUGGAUACUGUAUGGCAACGUAAGAGAAUUCGGCGACGCAGGGGGGAGCCCUGGGAAGCGUUGUCUUUUCUUGUUAACCGUCUCUUACCCUGGAAUCAGAUUGCCUGGAGAUAGGGUUAAUUGGCGGGUAAAGCACCUUGUCUUCCGAGGUGUCCGGUGCGCUCUCCACUGCCCUUGAAAAGCCGAAGGAAAGACUUAUUCACACCCCUGGUCGUACCCAUAACCGCAUCAGGUCUCCAAGGUUAGCAGCCUCUGGUCUAUAGUAAAAAGUAGGUAAGGGAAGUCGGCAAAAUAGAUCCGUAACUUCGGGAUAAGGAUUGGCUCUAAGGGUUGGGUGCGUUGGGCCUUGAGCAGAAG